GGCGGGGGCGGGGAGAGUCGGAGUGGCAGGAAGGACGACCCAAGAGAACCGCCGACGGACCGAAGGGGGUAGGGUCCGUGCCAGGCGACGUCUGCGCGAGUGUGGAUUUGGGGGCGUCUUCACCUGGAGCAGCUGCAGGAUUCCGCAGAGGAGCGCCUCUGUACAGUACAGCUCAGAGGGCGCAUUUCUGCGGGGGGCCCUAGGCCUUCAGCCCUGCCUCUUUCCCUUGCCAAUCACUUUCCCCAACACCAGGUUCACCCCCGACCCGCACCCUCACGCGCCCCGGGAGGGAGCAGGUCGGAGGGAAAAGCUUGGGAACUGGCUCGAUGGGGUCUGAGUAGGGCCCCUCCGUCUAGGCGUCCGCUCGCCACUCUCCCGCUGAUGGUGCCGACAGGAGGGCCGUGCUCCUUGGCCCUUCCUCUCUCCGGCUUGUCGCCGCCCGCCGCCCCCUCUAGAGCGGAGCUCGACGCGGGUCCGGAAUGCCCCGCGCGCGCUCCCGCAGCCGCGCUUUGUCCCGUGGGUGACCGCCGGAUGCCUCCAAGGGCUGGCAGAGCUGUCCGCGUGCGACUUUCGCUCUGGUUGGAUUUCCCCUUCCUUCGCAGCCCUGCCGGCCUCAAAGCAUGGUUUGGGCAGCCCAGCCCAGAUUUCCUGGAUAGAGAGACUCAUGAGGAGGAGCGUCAUCUCUGGCCACGGGAAACUGAGGGCUAUCUGAAACCAUCAGGCAUAAAACUCUUCCCCAGUUGUCUGGGCUGUACAGAAAAAUGCUCUAGUUUUUGUUUUCCUCCUGCAGCUCUGAUUUGGUGGAGUGGCAGUGGCUGCUCUUAGCAUGAAUGUGGGAGGAGAUUGUGCAGGGCCAGAGCCCUAUAUUUGGCUUCUGGGGUGGGAAAAGAGAUGAAAAUGGAGAUAUUAAUCAUAUAACUCCAUGUAACCAAUCAAAAAAUUUAUCAUAAAGUUUAUCUUAAAGUUCAUCUCCUUGAGCCAAGAAAUUAGAGUUGGGGCGGGCAGUUGCCCUUCUUAACCUCAAUGUGAGGCUCCCUGGCUGGGGCAUGUCUCCUCUGAUGCCAGUUUUCCCAGCCCAGUCCCCUUCUUCCUUGAAAUAGCAUUUCCCCACCAACCCACGACACACACAUAGACUUCUUUCUUGCUCCCAUGCACACACACACACACACACACACACACACACACCCCACAUGAACAGCAGAGUAUUCCUUCUUCCCCAGGGAAGAAGUGCUAAAGAAACU
rnacentral:lncRNA from 1 species